AUACGGAGGAUGCAAGCGUUAUCCGGAUUUAUUGGGUUUAAAGGGUGCGCAGGCGGCCAUUUAAGUCAGCGGUUAAAUCGUGGGGCUCAACCCCAUUCUGCCGUUGAUACUGGGUGGCUUGAUUGCGGUCGAGGUUGGCGGAAUUCGUUGUGUAGCGGGGAAAUGCAUAGAUAUGACGAAGAACACCGAUUGCGUAGGCAGCUGACCAGACCGCAAAUGACGCUCAUGCACGAAAGUGCGGGGAUCGAACAGGAUUAGAUACCCUGGUAGUCCGCACAGUAAACGAUGAAUACUUGUUUUCGGCGAUAUAAUGUCGGAGGCAAAGCGAAAGCGAUAAGUAUUCCACCUGGGGAGUACGCCGGCAACGGUGAAACUCAAAUGAAUUGACGGGG
rnacentral:rRNA from 1 species